rnacentral:rRNA from 1 species
UACGUAGGGGGCGAGCGUUGUCCGGAGUUACUGGGCGUAAAGGGCGUGCAGGCGGUGCGGUAAGUUUAGAGUGACAGUCUUCGGCUUAACUGGAGAAGGCCUCUGAAAACUGCCGGACUUGAGGGCCAGAGAGGGACAUAGAAUUCCGGGUGGAGUGGUGAAAUGCGUAGAUAUCCGGAGGAAUACCAAAGGCGAAGGCAGUGUCCUGGCUGGCAUCUGACGC